CUUCACUUCUAGCAAAGGACAAUCAAAGUAUGGGGACUUGGUCACUGAAUUUUUGGGGAGUCUUGGAAUACUUCCUGAAAACAGCCACUGAUAUAACCCAUAUUUCACUUGCCAAGGUUUUUUUUGGUACUGCGGAUCGAACUCGGGACCUUCCACUUGUGAGGCAGGCGAUGGCACCACUGAGCUAAAUCCCAGUUUCCUAGGCCUGCUGUGACAGAACUGCACAUUCGGUGGCGUAGGCCAGUAGAAGAAUGUGCCAGUGCCCACCAGAAAUCAUCGCCACAGAAGAGAUGCUAAAACUCAAAUGGACAAAAUGAGUCAUCUGUUGAUGUCAAUGAGUUUUCGUCCCCAACCAUUCCAGUUCUGGCAAAAAUGUCCAAUUUACAAAAUGGCCCUGUUGGUGUAGCUGGAGACAGGAUGAGC
rnacentral:lncRNA from 1 species